CAGAAAGACAGCCGCAAGGCAGAAGCGUUAGGUUUAACGAGGGUCUUAUCUUAAACAAAGGGAUCCAGCUGUGAGUCAGCAAACACCA